AUGGCAGACGACCACGGCGACGGCGACCGCACCGACGAUUAUCCGUGCAAGGAUAAUUUGCAUCGCCAUUCUCAGGUUGCAGUCUCACGCGCCGCUUCAAAGGGGAGGUAUGCAAGGUUUAAAGAGAAUUUGAAUGCCAAGGCAGAGGAGACAAAGCAACACCACCAUCAAGUUGCCGUCUCAUGCGCCCCUUCAAAAGGGAGGAGUCGAGCUGGUUGGAUGUCCAAGGAGAGGAGCACUCCUGAAGGUAUCAACAUGAAGGAACAUGGUUGGAGGUUUCGGUUCCCUUUCCCUGAACUCCCGAAGUCGACUUACCAUGGUGACCUGAAUUCCCUUGGAAGGCCAGUUGUAAUGAAACAAAGGAAACCUCUGGAGGUGAGGAAUGCUCGCCGUGAAAGAAGAGUCGCGGCAAAACAAAAGGCUGCACGCUACCACGCGGAGGUGGCCCUGCGUAAAUACAAUAGAGCAAACAACACCAAGUUUGAACUGGUGGAGGUAAAAGUGAUAUCUAUAUUUUCCGAGUUUGGAGGAGCCGGGGCCCAUUAUAACUUCACAGCUAAGCAGCCUGAGGACCAGCAUUCUGCUGAUGCCGACAAUACCUUGCUAUUCUUCUCUGAAGUUAACCUCGACUUUCGGAGUGAGAAUGAUGUGAUCAUGUGCUGUAUAGUUGGGGAAAAUGACGCAGGCCAUUGCUAUGGAUGCGAAAACUAUCAGCCUGUUAUUCACCCAAGCAGCCAAGCAUAUGGCGGCGGUAGUAGUACUUGUAUUGACUACCCGUAUCCGGACAGCGAGAGCUCAGACAGCGAUUAG
rnacentral:rRNA from 1 species